CAGGCGUCGGACCUCCCGCCCGCUCCGGGUCCGGGGGGUGGGGAAGGAGACCGUGUGAGGUGCGUGGGUUCUCAGUCCUGCUCCCGGCCAGGUGCUGGUGGUUGGCCCAGGCGGUGGCCGUGUCAAAACAUUAUAGUGACAUCCCUGACAUAUCCAUUCCCCCUGAGGUCGACUGUGCGAGAGGCUGAUCUCACAUCAUACACAGGAGAAGCCACAGCAGAAAAGAGCAAUGAGGUUUACAGAACUUAGAAAGGAAGAUACCAAGAAGUAGUGAAAUCAUAGUAUGUUUCGUUACUGAUAUUCUUCUAAGGUGAUUGGACAGAACAUGCCAGCUGUAGGCAGAAGAGAUGGAGAAGAAGAAAUUCGAGAAAUUCUAAGCGUGAGGAAGAUAAGACCUGUCUUUCUUGGCCCUAAGAUGUGGAGUUCUGUUUGAAAGGACUGGGAAGAGGCCUUUAGGAAUUAAGUGUGGCCCCCAGUUGACAGCGCGGCAAGAAAAUCGUGACUACCUUCCUACAACCAAUUGGAUUUGGCUGAGAACCUGAAUGAGUUUAGAAGCAAUUCAUCCCCAUACCAGCGGAAAGGAACGUAGGUCUGUGACAUCUUGAGCUCAGCCUUCUGAAAGUUUAAGCAUAGGACUCAGGACUUUUGCCUCCUCUGUCUGCCAGGUAUCAAGACACAACUCGUGUGUCUUCUUCAUCAACAUUCACAAGACCCUUCAGUCAGAAGAGAUGACUUCAUCCAUGUGCCUCUCCUGUGCCUUGUACUUCCCUAUUUUGAGAGUUUUCCUACAGUAUUUUAGAAGACUAUAAAAGAAAAGCAAUGAAAGAUUGACUGACUUCAGAUUGUGGAAAUGUGUGUGCUUUUUCUCUUUAUUUCUAUAUUUUCAAAAUUUCUUAUAGUGAUCUUAUAUCACCUUCAUAAUAUAGUAAAAUGUUAUAUAAAACAUUAGAGCAUAUAUAGAUACUUUUUAAAUGGAAACACACACAAACAUUCCUCACUAGAGUAAACUCCUUGUAUACGGACUUGUUUCAUUUUUUCUUUUCCUUAUUUUUUAAAAAAAAUUAUUUUAAAAUUUAUCUCUAUUUCAACCAGGAGACAACUGAUUAAAUUAUUAUUAGAAAUUAGUAGCAUAUUAUAUCAAAAUGAAACAGUAAAUAUAACUCAGCAAAUUAGAUUUUUAAAAGCAAAUGAAAACAUAAGCACGGCUAGCUUAACAUGAAGAGCUAAAGAAAAAAUGACAUUUUAAAAAUUUUCUCCUUACAUUUUUGAAAUACAUCUGGACCUUUGUUAUAGCAUACAGCAUUUUGUUGAUAUUAAACGUGUUCUGUACUUAGUCCAGUUUCUAAAUUUGCAAUUUAUUUUGUACAAAGCACAUUUGCUUGCUUAUGUGUUUUAAAGUUCAUCCGUUUCAUAAUGUUUUA
rnacentral:lncRNA from 1 species